rnacentral:rRNA from 1 species
GUGAGGAAUAUUGCGCAAUGGAGGCAACUCUGACGCAGCCAUGCCGCGUGCAGGAAGAAGGCGCUACGCGUUGUAAACUGCUUUUAACCGGGAAGAAACCCCAGGACGUGUCCUGGGUUGACGGUACCGGAGGAAUAAGCACCGGCUAACUUCGUGCCAGCAGCCGCGGUAAUACGAAGGGUGCAAGCGUUAUCCGGAUUCAUUGGGUUUAAAGGGUGCGUAGGCGGAGCGUUAAGUCAGUGGUGAAAUCCUGCAGCUUAACUGUAGACUUGCCAUUGAUACUGGCGCUCUUGAGUGCGCUUGAAGUGGGCGGAAUGUGCCGUGUAGCGGUGAAAUGCUUAGAUAUGGCACAGAACACCAAUUGCGAAGGCGGCUCACUAAGGCGAUACUGACGCUGAGGCACGAAAGCGUGGGGAUCGAACAGGAUUAGAAACCCGGGUAGUCC